ACGGGAGGCAGCAGUGGGGAAUAUUGCACAAUGGGGGGAACCCUGACCCAGCCAUGCCGCGUGAGGGAAUGAGGCCCUACGGGUCGUGAACCUCUUUUGCCUGGGGAUAAACCGCCCCGCUGGACGGGGCGCUGCAGGUACCAGGCGAAUAAGCAUCGGCUAACUCCGUGCCAGCAGCCGCGGUAAUACGGAGGAUGCGAGCGUUAUCCGGAUUCAUUGGGUUUAAAGGGUGCGCAGGCGGCGCGUUAAGUCAGCGGUGAAAGGCAGGGGCCCAACCCCGGCAGUGCCGUUGAUACUGGCGCGCUGGAAUGCGGUCGAGGCGGGCGGAAUGUGGCGUGUAGCGGUGAAAUGCAUAGAUAUGCCACAGAACUCCGAUAGCGAAGGCAGCUCGCCAGGCCUGCAUUGACGCUCAGGCACGUAAGCGUGGGGAUCGAACAGGAUUAGAUACCCUGGUA
rnacentral:rRNA from 1 species